rnacentral:rRNA from 1 species
GACGAACGCUGGCGGCGUGCUUAACACAUGCAAGUCGAACGGAAAGGCCCUGCUUUUGUGGGGUGCUCGAGUGGCGAACGGGUGAGUAACACGUGAGUAACCUGCCCUUGACUUUGGGAUAACUUCAGGAAACUGGGGCUAAUACCGGAUAGGAGCUCCUGCUGCAUGGUGGGGGUUGGAAAGUUUCGGCGGUUGGGGAUGGACUCGCGGCUUAUCAGCUUGUUGGUGGGGUAGUGGAUUACCAAGGCUUUGACGGGUAGCCGGCCUGAGAGGGUGACCGGCCACAUUGGGACUGAGAUACGGCCCAGACUCCUACGGGCGGCAGCAGUGGGGAAUAUUGCACAAUGGGCGGAAGCCUGAUGCAGCAACGCCGCGUGCGGGAUGACGGCCUUCGGGUGGUAAACCGCUUUCGCCUGUGACGAAGCGUGAGUGACGGUAAUGGGUAAAGAAGCACCGGCUAACUACGU